UAAUAAGUGUUUUAUGGCACUUUUUAAAUCCAUAUCCACCUUGUGUGUAAUGUCGGUCGAUCUCCUUUUUUUGAGGAUCGAUCAAACAUCAACCUUUAUUUUUUAACUCUUUGUCUGAAAAAUAUUAUGAAUAAACAAUUCAAAAUA
rnacentral:misc_RNA from 1 species